UUUAGAGUGUACAGCCUGAUAAUUGUUGACACGUGUGUGAUGAACCAGCACACUGAUAGAGGGGACCCUCCUGACAAGGUACAGAGGAAAACCUGGAGCGGCCCUGAAGGAGAAGAAAGGCUGGUGUGGGCGCAGCAGGAGGUGCCAACAUCACAUCCCACACUCAAGAAGAACGUCUUCCAGCUGAAGGAGGCCUGAGGAGGAAGGAGGAGCAGAUGCCGAAGGAGCGGUG